rnacentral:sRNA from 18 species
AAAUAACCUUGUUAGGUGAGGCUCCUAUCCAAACAUAGGCUAUUGCGCAGAAAUGUCGAAAGACACCAAUGUGUAAAACAGGAAUGGUCGAAUUAAGGCUCUUCUAAAAAUAGCUAAGAGAAAUCUUUACGUUGGAUAGUGCUAAAGCUCAGACGAUGAGAACCGAUU